UUUUUUAAAAGAGGUGACCGCGUGCCUAUUGAAGAAUGAGCCUGCGAGUUAAUUUAAAUAGCAUGGUUAAAGGAUAAAAGUUCUGGAGCCAGAGCGAAAGCGAGUCUGAAUAGGGCGACUUUGUUGUUUGGAUUAGACCCGAAACCGGGUGAGCUACCCAUGGCCAGGUUGAAGCCAAGAUAAUAUCUUGGUGAAGGACCGAACCCGUGUAAAGUGCAAAUUGCUGGGAUGAGUUGUGGGUAGAGGUAAAAUGCCAAUCGAACCCGGAGAUAGCUGGUUCUCUCCGAAAUGUAUUUAGGUACAGCGUUAAAUUAGUCUUAGGGAGGUAGAGCACUGGAUGGAUAAGGGGGCGUAAGCCUACCAAGUUCAACCAAACUCCGAAUGCCUUAAGAUGAUGUUUAGCAGUGAGACCGUGGGGGAUAAGCUCCAUUGUCAAAAGGGAAACAGCCCAGAUCACAAGCUAAGGUCCCUAAGUCUGAACUAAGUGGGAAAGGAAGUUAGAAUCCACAAACAGCCAGGAGGUUGGCUUAGAAGCAGCCACCCUUUAAAGAAAGCGUAAUAGCUCACUGGUCGAGGUUUUUAGCGCCUAAAAUGUAACGGGGCUAAAGUUCAGCACCGAAGCUGUGAGUUUUCUAUUUUAAUAGAAAGCGGUAGGAGAGCGUUGUCAGUGCACUGAAGCUAAAAUGUGAGUUUUGGUGGAGCGCUGAGAAGUGAGAAUGCAGGCAUGAGUAGCGACAAUCGUGGUGAGAAUCCACGACACCGGAAGCCCAAGGUUUCCUACGCAAUGUUGAUCAUCGUAGGGUUAGUCGGGCCUAAGUGAAAGCGUAUAGCGAACACGAUGGAUAACGGGUCAAAAUUCCCGUACCAUUUGUAUUGUGUUUUAACGCAAAGGGGGGACGCAAGAAGGUAAGUAAAGCAUACCUAAUGGACAUGGUGUGUUUGUUUUUGUAGAUGAUGACCAGAUAGGUAAAUCCGUCUGGUAUUUUAGUUGAGGAAAACAAAAACUCGAGAGCUUAGCUCAAAGGAAUUUUGCUGAUCCUAUGUUGCCAAGAAAAUCCUCGUUGUAAAUAAUAUAAAUGACCGUACCGCAAACCGACACAGGUAGGCAGGGAUAAAAGUCCCAAGGUGAACGAAAGAACCUUCGUUAAGGAACUCGACAGAUUGACCCCGUAACUUAGGGAGAAGGGGUGCCUGUUAUUUGAUACUGAUUUACUUAGUAAAGGGUAAUAGGCCGCAGUGAAUCGGUCCAAGCGACUGUUUAUCAAAAACAUAGGUCUAUGCUAAACCGAAAGGUGAUGUAUAUGGGCUGACGCCUGCCCAGUGCCGGAAGGUUAAGAGGAGAGGUUAGGAUUUAUCCAAAGCUUUGAAUUGAAGCCCCGGUGAACGGCGGCCGUAACUAUAACGGUCCUAAGGUAGCGAAAUCCCUUGUCAGGUAAGUUCUGACCCGCACGAAUGGCGUAACGACUUGGACAUUGUCUCAACGAAGGACUCGGUGAAAUUGCAGGACCAGUGAAGAUGCUGGUUACCUACGACAGGACAAAAAGACCCCGUGGAGCUUUACUGCAGCUUGGCAGUGAUUUAGGCUUAUAAACAUGUAGGAUAGGCGGGAGACUUUGAAGCUUUAACGCUAGUUAGAGUGGAGUCGCCCUUGAAAUACCGCCUUUUUAUAAUCUUGGAUCUAACUUUAUUUUAAAUGAAGGACCCUGCCUGGUGGGCAGUUUGACUGGGGCGGUCGCCUCCCAAACAAUAACGGAGGCGCCCAAAGGUUCCCUCAAGGUGGAUUGGAAAUCACCUUUCGAGUGUAUUGGCAUAAGGGAGCUUGACUGUGAGACCUACAAGUCGAG
rnacentral:rRNA from 1 species